UACGUAGGGUGCGAGCGUUAAUCGGAAUUACUGGGCGUAAAGUGUGCGCAGGCGGCCGAGCAAGUCGAGUGUGAAAGCCCCCGGGCUUAACUUGGGAAUUGCGCUCGAAACUACUUGGCUGGAGUGUGGCAGAGGAAGGUGGAAUUCCAGGUGUAGCGGUGAAAAUGCGCAGAUAUCUGGAGGAACACCGGUGGCGAAGGCGGCAUCCUGGACCAACACUGACGCUGAGGAGCGAAAGCCAGGGGAGCAAACGGG
rnacentral:rRNA from 1 species